CUCUAUUAUUCAGUGCAAAAUGGAGUGAAUUGUCUAUUCCAUUGCACUGAAUAGUGGGGCA
rnacentral:pre_miRNA from 1 species